rnacentral:rRNA from 1 species
UCCAGACUCCUACGGGAGGCAGCAGUGGGGGAUAUUGCACAAUGGGGGGAACCCUGAUGCAGCGACGCCGCGUGGGUGAAGGAGCGUUUCGGCGCGUAAAGCCCUAUCGGCAGGGAAGAAGGAGGACGGUACCUGACUAAGAAGCCCCGGCUAACUACGUGCCAGCAGCCGCGGUAAUACGUAGGGGGCAAGCGUUAUCCGGAUUUACUGGGUGUAAAGGGGGCGCAGACGGCAGCGCAAGCCAGGAGUGAAAGCCCGGGGCCCAACCCCGGGACUGCUCUUGGAACUGCGCGGCUGGAGUGCAGGAGGGGCAGGCGGAAUUCCUGGUGUAGCGGUGAAAUGCGUAGAUAUCAGGAGGAACACCGGUGGCGAGGGCGGCCUGCUGGACUGCGACUGACGUUGAGGCCCGAAAGCGUGGGGAGCAAACAGGAUUAGAUACCCCUGUA